UACGGAAGGCAGCAGUGGGGAAUAUUGCACAAUGGGCGCAAGCCUGAUGCAGCCAUGCCGCGUGUAUGAAAAAGGCCUUCGGGUUGUAAAGUACUUUCAGUCGUGAGGAAGGUGUUAAGGUUAAUAACCUUAGCAAUUGACGUUAGCGACAGAAGAAGCACCGGCUAACUCCGUGCCAGCAGCCGCGGUAAUACGGAGGGUGCGAGCGUUAAUCGGAAUUACUGGGCGUAAAGGGCACGCAGGCGGUUAAUUAAGUUAGAUGUGAAAUCCCCGGGCUUAACCUGGGAAUGGCAUUCAAGACUGGUUAGCUAGAGUCUUGUAGAGGGGGUAGAAUUCCAUGUGUAGCGGUGAAAUGCGUAGAGAUGUGGAGGAAUACCGGUGGCGAAGGCGGCCCCUGGACAAAGACUGACGCUCAUGUGCGAAAGCGUGGGGAGCAAACAGGGAUUUAGAUACC
rnacentral:rRNA from 1 species